CACACAGUGGGCCCUCAAUUAACAUUUUCUCAUCAAAUGGGGAACAAACAAAAGUGUGAGCGAAUGAGCUGGCCAGGGCGGCACCUGGAGCUCCUGGCCCCUUUCCAGCUCCUGGACUUCAGAGCUUUUCCUGUGCCCACCUGUCCCCCAGCUGGGGCUUCAGAUGGAAACUCAGCUUCCUCAUUGGUCUCAUGGAUGACUUCCUCCCACUGCCACACCCCACACAGAGGGUUGGAGAGAUCAGCAGUUGCCACUUCCUGUUUCUGAGACAGAAGUUGUUUCCGAGGUCAGCGAGAGCCAUAUUAAGGAAAGUAGCCAAACCACCUCCAUGGCUCUGGAAAGGUGUGGAAGUGGUGGAGUGAGAGUCCCAGCCCAGAUAAGGGAUCACCACCAGAAGAUGAAGAAUAUGGUAUGUCCAGAGAUCCAAAGGCAAUGCGGGCCUCGCAGUGGAUGCCAGCACACAGUGGUGACAAACGCUUGGACAAAACCCAUCAAUCUCAUGAACAGCAGAGAGGAGAAACACUGAGUGAGGACCAGCAGCCUCCUAGAGCACUAGGCUCCUGCGUCAGUCUCCUGCAGCUUAGACACCACCUUGAGGUGGGGGGUGGUGACAGGUUUCAUUGUCAAUUGAUGAGUUUGUUUCAAUCUAAAAAAAAUUAGGUGGGCCCAGAAUGAACUAAGAUGAUGUUUUUCUGUCUUGGAUGGAACGGGGCUUGAAUUAAAUGUGAAGCUGAA